AGUGAACGCUGGCGGUAGGCCUAACACAUGCAAGUCGAACGGCAGCACAGUAAGAGCUUGCUCUUACGGGUGGCGAGUGGCGGACGGGUGAGGAAUACAUCGGAAUCUACUUUUUCGUGGGGGAUAACGUAGGGAAACUUACGCUAAUACCGCAUACGACCUACGGGUGAAAGCAGGGGAUCUUCGGACCUUGCGCGAUUGAAUGAGCCGAUGUCGGAUUAGAUAGUUGGCGGGGUAAAGGCCCACCAAGGCGACGAUCCGUAGCUGGUCUGAGAGGAUGAUCGCCCACACUAGAACGGAGCCACGGUCCAGACUCCUAGGGGAGGCAGCAGAGGGGAAUAUUGGACAAUGGGCGCAAGCCUGAUCCAACCAUCCCACGUGGGUGAAGAAGGCCUUCGGGGUGUAAAGCCCGUUUGUUGGGAAAGAAAAGCAGCAGGUUAAUACCCCGCUGUUCUGACGGUACCCAAAGAAUAAGCACCGGCUAACUUCGUG
rnacentral:rRNA from 1 species